rnacentral:rRNA from 1 species
CCGGUUGAUCCUGCCGGAGGUCACUGCUAUUGGGAUUCGACUAAGCCAUGCGAGUCGAGAGGGUUCGGCCCUCGGCUGACGGCUCAGUAACACGUGGAUAAUCUGCCCUUAGGUGGAGGAUAAUCUCGGGAAACUGAGGAUAAUACUCCAUAGAUCUAGGAUGCUGGAAUGCAUCUAGAUUGAAGGCUCCGGCGCCUAAGGAUGAGUCUGCGGACUAUCAGGUUGUAGUCAGGGUAAAGACCUGACUAGCCUACGACGGAUACGGGUUGUGAGAGCAAUAACCCGGAGACGAUAUCUGAGACACGAUAUCGGGCCCUACGGGGCGCAGCAGGCGCGAAAACUUCACACUGUGCGAAAGCGCGAUGAGGGAAUCCCAAGUGUUUGCUCGUAAGAGUAAACUGUUUCUUUGUUUAAAACGCAGAGAGAGUAAGGGCUGGGUAAGACGGGUGCCAGCCGCCGCGGUAAUACCUGCAGCUCAAGUGGUGAUCAUUAUUAUUGGGCCUAAAACGUCCGUAGCCGGUUUAGUAAAUGCCUGGGUAAAUCGUGUAGCUUAACUAUACGACUUCCGGGUAGACUACUAAACUUGAGACCGGGAGAGGCUAGAGGUACUCCUGGGGUAGAGGUGAAAUUCUGUAAUCCUAGGGGGACCACCAGUGGCGAAGGCGUCUAGCUAGAACGGGUCUGACGGUGAGGGACGAAGCCCUGGGGCACAAACCGGAUUAGAUACCCGGGUAGUCCAGGGUGUAAACGCUGCUUGCUUGAUGUUAGUUGGGCUCCGAGCCCAACUAGUGUCGGAGAGAAGUUGUUAAGCAAGCUGCCUGGGAAGUACGGUCGCAAGGCUGAAACUUAAAGGAAUUGGCGGGGGAGCACAGCAGCGGGUGGAGUGUGCGGUUUAAUUGGAUUCAACGCCGGG